AUACGGAUUAAUUGUGAUAUGAUGCUAUUGAUAUGAGUUGUGUGUUGAUAUGGUGUUGUCCUAAGGUGCUUUCCGUGAGGCGCACACGUGAAGGAUACACGCUAGAGGGUUUUCAAUAUGUUCAUGAUUCGCUUAUAGUGGGUGGCGAGAGCGACAGAAACUUACACUCGAGUAAGGGAGUUGUGCGCAUAUGGGAUUAAAGAGGACUUGAUGUUUAAUGCUAUGGUUGGGCUUACCUUAAUGAUUUCUAGUAGUUGCGGAUGCUUUCUAAAGGUCCAAUCAUAAGUGCAUAUGAUACAAGUAUGGAAUGUGUGUUAGUGUAUGCCUCUCCCUCAUUGCACAUGAUAAGUAUCUAUCAUGUUAUAUUGAAUUGACUAUGGACAAUCUUUUUCUUGCAUUACACAAAAAUAUUUCUACUAAGCAGCACCUAACUUUUAUCUACUUGUUAUUUACUAUCUUGCAAAUCUAUC
rnacentral:lncRNA from 1 species